CUUCUGCUAUACACUGGUAGGUGGAAGAAGGGACGCUGGCCUCUAGGAUUAAAGACUCUGACUUCACCGGAACUUUCCCUGUCUGUGGAAGUAAGUGAUGACCACCUGAAUGAGAACAGAGGCUAUUUAUACAGAGCUUGCUACAGCGAGGGACUGAGCCACCAUCACUUGCAUUUGGCAGAGGCUCAAAGGCUGGCAGAGGAGUAGGAAAGCUUUAUAAUUAGAAGGAGAAGAGAAAAGGAGAUCCUCAGUGAUUGCCUUGGCACAGGCAGCAUGCUGCUACUCUGCUGGAGUGAAAGCAAAAGAUGCAGUGGAGUCUGGCAGGACCUGGACACCUUCAUAGAUUUAUAAGCUGGGGCCUGGAUGGAGGAGAAGACAAAGACAGAGAUGUGAAGCUGCAAAGGUGGCUUGGGCAGGAUGGUUGGGAAGGGAAGGGUUGGAACUUAGAGACAGUAUCUUUGAC